AGAGCCGGGGUCUGGAAGCAGGGCAGGAAUGAGCGAGGGUGGUAAAAUUAAACUUCACUUUGUUAACUAAUGGCUGGGGAGUGCUGGGCGUCAGCCGUGACAUGCGUGUGCUGUGGCGCCAGCAGUGCCUGGAAAGACAGUGUAAACUGUGUUUUUCAUCUCCUUGGAGAGCUUGGACAUAGUGUAGUCUAGGGCAUUAUCUGUUGCUUUCCAAGCUCUCAGAAAGCUGUCAUUUCAACACUCCCUGUUUUUUAAAAGGUUUUUUUUUUUUUUUUUUUUUUUUUUUUUUUUUGUGUUCCCUUGUCUAUCUUUUCAAGGGCCUUUACAGGGAAGAGGCUGAUUGUAGAAGAGGAAAAGGCUGCCAGACACACUAGGUCAACAGUGAAAAGAGAUUGCAUACCACAUUCUGGAACCAAAUUUAGAGUGAAUGAUAUGCAAAUUUUAAAGGUCAGUCAUCGUGCCUGUUGUAACAGAGUAUGCUGUACGGUAUUUGCAACAUAUAUUGAGUACAGAAUGCGAUAGCAAUGGAUCAGUACAUUGAAUGAGCGAAUAAAGGUAUUGCUGCAAAACUUUGAUAGAGAUAUGCUACAUGCAAAUAUCAAGAAGUAAUAGGUUAUUCCAUGGACAUUUCAAGAAAGUGCACUGGUUUUGUGUUUAUAAGCUUUUCGGUACUAAACUCAUGUCUUUGCUUUGCAUUUGAACAGCUCCCAGUACAAGCAUGGAUCCAUCAGUAUGCCUUCUGAAUGCUGCUGUAAUACUAAUACUUCUAUUAUCAAACCCAUAAUUAAUAUAAAACUUUUAUUAGAUGUUUUAGAGAGGCCUUUUGAAGGUUGACAGCUCUUGUGGAUAAGUGAAGACAACCUUGUAACCUCUGUGGUGAUAAAAUGUAAUUGCACAAUAGUUGGGUCAGCUUUUAGAUGUGCUUGUGCCACUUAUGUUCAUCUAUAUUAGAACUUUCAUGAGCCUCCAGCUGUGAUGUCAUUGGUUGUAACUCUUUCCGUGGAAGCACUUGAGAAAGCUGGCAUUACUGAGGUUAAAAGGAAACUAACCCUCAGAGGUCAUGUUUGGAUAUGUGCUUUUGUUUAGACAUAGUUCAUCUGAAAUUGCUGUUGCUAUCAUCUGAUCUAGUUUGAGCAUCUUUGCACAGCUUCUGCAUGAGAUGGGCAGAUUUGAGUUCCCAUAACAGCCUGCACCAAUGAAACCAGCAAGGUUUGUUUUCAGCAAUGACUUUACAGAUAGCUAAACCUGACAUGGCUAAAGGAGAAGAAAUCUGAUUACUAAAUCAAAUAAACUUCCGAAAUUGAGGGUUAUUCUUUUUGUUUGCCAAGUAAGGACUGUACAGAGACAACUUCAGUUCCUUUUUUAUUAACCAUUUAAUCUCCAAUCAAAUAUGUAUUGAAACCUCUGGAACUAACCCACUAAGUAUGUAGUUAACCUCUCAAUUUUUAAACUUUCGGUAACUCUUGAAUAAAUUAAGUUAUUUUGGCACUAGCAUUUGUCUUUACUUUUUGGAUCUAGAAGUCUGAGGGUCUUUGUAGUAAAGCCCCUU
ensembl:lncRNA